GUGUUUUAUGAAAGUGAAGAAUCAGGUUAGCACUCCCCUUGAUGAGAAUGGAAAAAUAUUCUGGUGCCCUGUAACACACACACACAUUGAAGCUAUCACCACCACGGCACCUAACAAUAUUUCUU
ensembl:snRNA